UACGGAGGGAGCUAGCGUUGUUCGGAAUUACUGGGCGUAAAGCGCACGUAGGCGGCUUUGUAAGUUAGAGGUGAAAGCCCGGGGCUCAACCCCGGAAUUGCCUUUAAGACUGCAUCGCUUGAAUCCGGGAGAGGUGUGUGGAAUUCCGAGUGUAGAGGUGAAAUUCGGUAGAUAUUCGGAAGAACACCAGGUGGCGAAGGCGGCUCACUGGACCGGUAUUGACGCUGGAGGUGCG
rnacentral:rRNA from 1 species